CGUCGCUACGAGGUUUGAACAUCGUGUAUAGAAACCGUGGAGUUUCUCUCUAAGGAGAACAGGGAGGAGACACCCUUCACAUGUGAUGAGGACAUGGCUGCUGCUUAUGAUGCUGCAGCCGAUCAGUAAGGUCUUGAAUUCAUAUGAUUUUCAAUCAGCCCUCUCAAGUUUUUAAUGGAUACCUAGCUCCUUUUCAACUAUAAAGCACAAGGUACUCUACAAAAAAGAAACUUUUCAGACAAACAAGUCUGUGAACUUCCCAAGUAGGAUGGAGAGAAAAAAACAGACAGGCUGAAGGAGCAACACAUGCAUAAGACCCAAUCCAAUGUGGCAUGUAGAAGGGUGAGGUGAAGCACAAAAAAUCCUGGUGUGGGCCCCAUCUCCAGAAAGAGACUGUAACUGCAUGAGAACCUAAAAGGAAAACAUGGAAGAUGCAAUAGGAAGAUGGGGAUGGUCUAGAGUCUCCCAGAUUUACUUUUCUUCCCAGGAAAAGGCGACAGACUUCUAGUAAUCGGUAACAGCCCUGCAAACCUGGAGCACAGACAGAAGUGAAAUUUUCGCCCUAUCUGGUCAGAGAAAGUGAUCUAUAGCCAUGACCAAACACAAGUGUACAGCUGCAGACUGCUUCAAAAAUGACCAACUGGAUGAAAAUCUGAACCCUCAUUGCAUGAGGGGUCAGAUGAAGACAUUUCAAAACAUAGCAUCUUCUGUAACUUGAAUCUGCGCUGCCCCCUAGCCUGUCACUGUUUUCAAAAUGGGAGGGGGGAAAGGGAGAAGAGGAAGUUCAGUCUGGGGGUUUUUGGCACCCGCCUCCAUGCCACGGAACCAACAGUAAACUUCUGUUUGGUCCGGGGGAUCAUUGUAACUCAGAACAGUUCCCGGAAAGCGUUCUGUUACAGCCAGGAGCUGCACUUCUGUCUGCACUCUUGAUUGUACUCAUGCAGGCAAGGAAAACAGAAUCAGAGAAGGCAGCCUCCAUGCUUGGCCAAAACAGUUCCCAUUACCAGUACCCUGAUAGUUGAAACAAACUACUUCCCAGUAUACCUGCAGGGUACAUGUUAUUCAUACUUUACUUGCUAUGCAAUUUCAAAUAACAAGUACAUUAAAGAAAAAUGCAAUCUGUUUUCUGACAACUUAAAAAUGCACAAAAUGUAAUAGUUUGUAACAGUGGGGCCUAAUAAUUUACCCGCGCUAACUAUUAGAUCAUAGCUGUGAAUUUUAUUUACUUGUUUUACACGCCCAAUUCAGUUGGUUGAAUUUUUUUUUCAAAAGCUACUUUUGAUCAAAAAUGUGGUUUUAGUUAAAAUGAAUGUAUUUUUUUAAAAGUCUUGUUUUCAAUUAAAUAUAUUGUUUUUCAAAAAGACAUCUAAAUGUAAAAUUCAGGAUGUAACAUGAGACACGUUGUUGUCAGUAAUUUUCCUUUCAA